rnacentral:rRNA from 1 species
UACAGAGGGGGCAAGCGUUAUUCGGAAUUAUUGGGCGUAAAGGGCGCGUAGGCGGCUUGGCAAGUGGAAGGUGAAAUCCCUCGGCUUAACCGAGGAACUGCCCUCCAAACUGCUUUGCUUGAGGCCGGGAGAGGUGAGUGGAAUUCCCAGUGUAGCGGUGAAAUGCGUAGAUAUUGGGAGGAACACCAGUGGCGAAGGCGGCAUCCUGGACCGGCAUUGACGCUGAGGAGCGAAAGCUAGGGGAGCAAACGGG